rnacentral:lncRNA from 1 species
AUGGAAUUAACUGGCAAACUGAUGUCUCUGCUUCCCCUUACUGGCGGAGCUCAGUGGGAGCCUCACUCCUUGCUGCCACUCCUUCCUUCCUUCCGUCCUGCCGAGUUGCCCUUUUCUACUCCCCAGCACUCCCAACCUGCAUACUCAGACAUUUCCCAGGUUCUGAAGCCCAAUAAACAAGAAAAGAUGCUGAUGUCCUACUGUGGAAAUCACUAAUUGGGAAGGUGACUUACUGCAAAUGGGCAGAGAGAGAGGAGACUGAUGGAAAUGGGCAAUGGCAUGGAGCUCUAGGGGUCCGCCGACUGCCAGAAGUCUUCCUACUGGGGGUGCUGGGGACGUCUGUGAGAGACAGUGUCUGAGGGCUUGCAGAUCUCUUCCAGGUAAUCUGGCUUUAUGACUUGAAGACUCAUUUAAAAAGACCUAAGGGCAUUGGAAAAUGUUUUAUACGGGGCACAUUUGGGCAAUGAAUAUUUAUGGAUACAGGGAUGCAUACGGCAUGUUUCCUGUGGUAAAUUUUCAGUCUAGAAAUCUCAAAAGCAAAUGAAAUAAGAUCCUCCCUUUUUUAGUUUAUUUACUUGAGAAAUUGGUACUUUGGCUUCCUUAGGCCUAGCUGGCCUCAUGCCACUUAUAUUUGUAAACUCUGCGGUUUAUUUCAGAAAUGCAUGGAUGGUCCCGUAAUAUAAAAUCUAUAAAUGUAAUUUUAUCUGAGCAUGGAAUGCAUCGCAGCCUAAAAAUUCUGCAGCAUCCUUAAUGAGCAAACAACACUGGCAGCAUCCUGAUAGAGAGAAAUGUGACAAGAAUGCUCACUGCUCCUACAAUUCACUAUUCAACACGAUAGCUGAAAUGUCAGCCAAUACAAUUAAACAAGAGAAAGAAUGUAGAGGCAAAAAACUUGGAAAGGAGUAAACAUAAAAACCCAAAGAGAAUCACUGGCCAACUACAAACAAUUAGAGAACUUAGGAAAAUGCUGGUGUACACAAAGGGUCUCAAGUUGAUGAGUAGCACCCAGCAGCCAUCUUGAAACAGUCUCCCUGGCCCUCCUCUUGAUAAUGGUCUCCGUUGAGGUGUAACCACACAAUUAACUGCUUUAGACUUUCUGAUUUUCAAAUGAUAUGUCUAUCCUCCCAACUCUGAAUAUUCUCUUUAAGACCAUGUCCUCAGAUUACCCAAAAGAAUCUUCCUGAACCAUUAUACAGAAUAUAGUAAGCUAAUUAAGCAUUUUUCCUAAGCAGGCUAUUAAAAAAAAAAACUCAAUGGAAUUUUUGGCACGUUUAUCAUCUGAAAGCCACCAGCUGUACUCAGUUUGUCCCCUCUCUUGCGACAGUGCUGG